UUAUACUAUCCACACAAAAGUACCCCCGUCGUUACCCAAAUGGUUCAGAUAUACGUCUCCUCUGUUAGGAUUGUUCAAGAUGGACACCCAAUUUUGCGUGGCACUGAUAUUUUGGUGCGACAUCUUUCAACAUAGAUUUUGCUGCGAAGAAGGUAACGGUUAUCGGGGAUGUGACACCAUUAGGGGUUCUUGCAAGCAUUUCAAAGGUGAAGAAUGCACAGCUUAUGACACCAACACUGGCUUCUUCAGUCCCUUCUUCAGCCAAAGUUAAUUUGAGUUAUUCUUAGUUCAUGAAAGAUGUCAAGCAGCAGUUGGUACUGUCUCAUGACAAAAUAGAUAAUAAUGUUCCUCCAACUCCAACAACUAUUCACCUUAUGUAAAUUUUUGAAGUUUAUGUGCUUUAGAAAAAGGAAAUUAUAGCCUGGGAUCUUUUUUUAA